UGGGUCACUUCAGGGUCACAUUCAGUUCAGACUCAAAACUGACAGAAGUCGUAUUUAAUGUAGAAUAUGAACCAACACAAAAAAAAAUCAGAUUUCACCAAAAAAAAAUUCCGACCUGUGCAUUCAGAGCUGAUCUAAGAAACAGAAUAAGAGCGACUCUGUGACGUGUCCUGUCAUUUCCACUCCAGUCCAGUUUUUUGGGGGGUACAGACUAUCAUGUGAAGUGAAUAUUUAUUACUUGUCAUCUGAAGGACACCUACCACUAAGAGAAUGUGACUACUAUCCCGCAUCACUUCAUCGUAGAUCAUCAUCCCAACAAACUACGUAUUUAUUGAUGGUUUCCAGUUCCAAUUAUGCCUUUUUUUUCAGUCAGUCAGCGGACUGUGGUUUCCUGAUAAACUUUGAAUUCAUGUAGUGUCAAAUGUAUGUUUUCAUUUUGUGGUUUUUGUCUUUUCUUGGAUGUGUAUAAACAUUUGAGCGCAGGCUGCGUUGACACACACCGUCUAAAUCUGUUUUCUGUGGGUUCCUUUAAAACUGGCAGAUGUUUUUAGUACUGACAUGAAUUUGAAAAGUGUCUUCUGUUUUUUUUUUUCACCUUUUUUUGGGGGGGCGGGGCUGUAGGAAAAGAAAAGAAGUAGAAUGAUUCGAUGUAUUUUCCAUAUUUGAGUGAGUGAUUUCUUUUGUUCUGUAGGUAUUUGACUUGUUUUUUCCCAACUCGAUGUAACCGUUGCUGCUUGAGAACUAGAUUUUUUUGUAGUACUGUAAAUCAAGCUAACUGUCACGACAAAAAUGUGAGUUUUUAGAAGACUGCUUAUAGAUCUGGACUAAUAUUUAGUCAGUUAUAUUAAAAAUAUAUGCCAACGUAGCUCCACAACUGCCAAACACUAGGCUGCAUCCCAAUUUGGGCCUUUUUUUUGUUCUCUUUUCAUUGGAAUUUUAAAUAUGUUAUUCUUUUUUUUUUGGUUGGUACUUACAUGUGUCAUGGAUCUUACAGCUACAAUGGCAUUUGCACUGAGAUCUUGGUCCUAAAGAUGCAAUACGAUGCACACAGGUGCCAAGAGUUCUCUGAUAUACAUGUUACUAAUUUAUUUUAUAACUCAGAUAUCACUGCAGUGCAUCGGAUGUUUCGCAGCGGUUCCACUGAAGGGCUUUUGUGAAAUAAUAAUGUCUUCCACAUUCACAACAGGAGCAGUAGUCCUUUUCCUCUUCUUCGUCUCCAUGGGGAUCCACUGUUGUACAGUGUAAGUGCAUGAUUGCAAUACAAAAAACUCCUUAACUGUAUUUGAGAAAAGCUUUUUUUUAACCAAUAAAUGUUUUUCUUUCGUAA